UCCCAGCACUCCAAGUCGCAGCCACAAUUAUUGGGUCUAAAACAUCCGUAGCUUGCAUUGCAAGUCUUUUGUGAAAUCGGGCAUCUUAAGUGUCCGUCGGGCAAAAGAUACUGCUUUGCUAGAGACCGGGAGAUGUGAAGAGUACGAAUAGAGUAGCGGUAAAAUGCGUUGAUCCUAUUUGGACUAACAACAGCGAAGGCACUUCACAAGAACGGAUCUGACAGUGAGGGAUGAAGGCUAGGGGCGCAAAUUG
rnacentral:rRNA from 1 species